GAUUGGUUCAGGAGUUGGCAUAUGACCAAGUUCCUCCAAUGAGAUGUGAGGAGACGGCUCUGGGCAGAGCCUCUGGGAAAGCUUUCCUUCUCUCCGCAAGGAGAGAUAGGCGCUGUUGCCUGGGAACAGUGUGAGUGGGCAAUGUUCGCCCAGAGGGGCCCCAGCUCCCUUGCAGAGAAGGAAGCUGGACCUCCGAUGGUAUGGAGCUGCCGGUUGUCCCUUGCCUGAGGCGCUUUCUCUUCUGCCUUUUGUGUGAGAUAACAAAUGACGAAUUUGAACUGCCAUUUUCUGCUGUAUGCAGCCGUGAUACUGCGGAUUCUGAGGAAGGCCAACUCACCACCAUCUUGUUUUACUGAGGACAGAACCAAGGCCUAGCGGGACCUCUGUGUGUCCCCGUCUCAAAACCUGUUGAUGGCAGUGAGAGACAAGAGCCUCACCUCCCUUCUCGUAAGCUAGGCUUCAUCCUGUAGUGAGACAGGUUCUAGAAUCUUCUGUCAUUGUCCUUCCCACCCUCAGCCCAGAGCCUCUGUAGUCAGCUGUGUGUACAGAAGCUCACCUGAUUUAAAUCCAACAGGCAGUAUUCCGUCUAAUUAAGCAGUUAUCAGCAGGAAGGCUACAUCUCCAGAGCCUACCUGUUUUUUGUGAGGCGCCUUUAUAAACCCUCACUGGUUGUUGUGAUGAAUGCCAGGGGCUGAUGAGACCUCUGGAAGGCGGGUCCUGCUGGGCUGCCAUGGGGGCUGUGACAGUGACUGUUUAUGGAAUCUGAAGGCUGUAUUUGGAUAAUUACCACCAUCUGAUUGUCAGAUUAGUGUCAUCUGAACCAGACGGUCUGCUGUUUUUUUGCUUAAGGGAGGAAGAAUAAAACCCUUAGGAGAUGCUCACCGACUGUGAGCUUGGAAAUAGCCCUGAAAGUUACUGAGACAGUGACUGUGGUGAGGCCAGAGCACAGCCAGCAGCGUGCUGAACAAGUGUGCUGGUGGGUGAAGUAGAGAGGAGCCUCAAAGAAAAUGUGUUGAUUUUCCUGCUUUGCAGUGUGCAGAUUCACUGUGAAGCAGGCAGCAGUGGGCUUCUGAUAUGGUCACCUCUGUCAUGGGCACCUACUAUCGGGAAAAUUCAAGCCAGAAACUUCAAGAAGAAGAAUAGCUUGGGAAAAGCCAGGUCCAAAUAGAAGCCACCUUCAUCUGGACACAGCAGCCAUUGAUGCUGAUCCUCAAGGGCUCACCCUGCUGCACAAAUUCACAGGGGUGAUAUUUCAGCACAGAGGCAAACUUUCUUCUCUCAGAAGAACCCCUCAAAGAGACGGACGCUACAGCUGGAGCUGACAGCUCAAGUGCAUCACCCAGCAGGACCAGUCUCAAAUGGAGGGCUGUUAGGUCUCUAGAGGGCCUGCCAGGUGGCUCAGUGGUGAAGAAUACGCCCGGCCAAUGCAAGAGACACAAGAGACUCACGUUCAGUUCCUGGGUUGGAAAGAUCCCCUGGAGAAGGAAAUGGCAGCCCACUCACGUAUUCUUGCCUGGGAAGUCUCACGGACAGAGGAGCCUGGUGGGCUACACUCCAUGGGGUCGCAGAGUCGGACGUGACUGAGUGACCAAACGACAAACAACAGCAAGGUUCCAAAACAACCCAAAGGGGACAUGCCGGCUUCUGACCUCCUUCGGUCUACCCCGGCCUUCUCCAGGCUCCAGUGCUUUUUUCCUUCCCCAGAGAUUGCCAUGAUUGUUU
ensembl:lncRNA